ACAACCCACCCAACUCACGCCCUGACCAUACUAAAACAAAGACAUAACAAAAGAACUAAGGUCAGAACGUGACACAUUUGGACUCAUCAGACCAAAGGACUGAUUUCCACCUGUCAAAUAUCCAUUGCUCGUGUUUCUUGGCACAAGGAAGUCUCUUCUUAUUAUUGGUGUCCUUUGGUAGUGGUUUUUUUGCAGCAAUUCAACCAUGAAGGCCUGAUUCACGCAGUCUCCUCUGAACAGUGAUGUUGAGAUGUGUCUGUCUGUUAUUUAACUCUGCAUUUAUUUGGGCUGUAAUCUGAGGUGCCGUUAACUCUAAUGAACCUAUCCUCUGCAGCAGAGGUACUCUGGGUCUUCCUUUCUGUGCGGUCCACUGAGGCCAAUUUGUGGAGUGGUUGAAAAACAAGUUUUAAUGACUCCAACCUAGUGUAUGUAAACUUCCCACUUCAACUGUAACUGGAUUGUAUGUUAGAUGCUCCAUGAGAUCUAUAAAUAUCAUAGUGGUGAUAUUUUUAUGAAGUCUGUUAUUAUUAUAAGAGUGUCCUUUGAGAGAGUAAAUCUCUACUUGGACCUUCCAGCUACUUGGACCUCCAGCACAAUCACUACUUGGACCUUCCAGCUACUUGGUCCUCCAGCACAAUCUCUACUUGGACCUUCCAGUAAUUGGUCCUCCAGCACAAUCUCUACUUGGGCCUUCCAGCUACUUGGUCCUCCAGCACAAUCUCUACUUUGGCCGUCCAGCUACUUGGUCCUCCAACACAAUCUCUACUUGGACCUUCCAGCUACUUGGUCCUCCAGCACAAUCUCUACUUGGGCCUUCCAGCUACUUGGUCCUCCAGCACAAUCUCUACUUGGGCCUUCCAGCUAAGCACUUUGGCCAUAUGUACACUCAUGUACUUGUACAAACUAACUGUGCUUGUUAAGAACUACUCCCCAAUACUGCUUCACUGACUGAGGAUGACAACACAUCAAACCACAUUAUCCUUCCCUGCAACUUGGUAUGUACCAAGGACAUACAAUGGAUGACAGCCAUCCCUGCUCUUAAACACAAAAAACAAUACAGGCAUGUUAUCCUUGAGUUCUCACUGCUUCUAGAGAAGUUAUUUCUCAUGAAAUAUAACAGAAGUGAAGAGCAGGAAUGUAAGAGUGGAACAGGACAGUUUACCAGUAAGAGACUCCUCCUACUAGUAUGUAAUGAACUCUUAGCUAAUGCAUUUCAGACAUACUAGUAUCUCCUUCUUAAGAGCUAUCUCUACAACCUGUCAGUCAUAAGGACCCAGAGGAAGAAUUGGUGAGACCAGGUAUUGAAGCUCUUGCAGAUCGUUGAAAUAAAACAAGUAAGAAAAAUAUACAGCAUGCUUUGUAUAGUCUUGAAUGAUAUAACCAACAUUUUGUCAAAAAUUAUUUCCUGUUUGUAUUUCCUGUUUGCUACUCUGUUCUGAUCCACUCUUUUCCCAGGGAAAGUGACCUUUCAAGAGAUUUGCAUUAUUGAGUGUCUUGACAACUGUGAAAUGUAUUUAGAAUGCUCUUCAGAAGAUGUUGUUGUUUUGAGUGUUCGUGUGUUCAUCUUAUUUUGUUCCUAGAAGUCUUUGUCAUUUUUGUCUUUGUCAUCUGCUGCAGCCAGAAACACGAUCCAUCACCAUCUCUCAGAGUUUGCCAAAGCCACAAAAGCCUUCGUGAAGGACACAGAUCAUGAGGGACACCUGAUCCCUGUGUCCAGUCUGAUGACACAGACAAACUGAAUCUCCGAUCACUCAUGUCAAGACCAGGCACAGAUGCUUCUGGCAGGACCCCAAUACCAGUCCCUGCUGUUACCGGGGAUGUUCUGGAGCCUGGAGAGCCUGGAAACACACCUAAGUCCAAGGACGCACCAGAGCAUCCGCUAGUGACAAAAACUAUGGGUUGUUGUUCUAAAAAUACGACCAUUGAUUUAAUAAUCCUACUCUGUUUUUCUGAGCAGAUAGGAAAAUGAUAAUGUCAUGGAUGUGUCUGUUAUAGAUAUGUGCUGUGGUAUAAUAGCAUAGAGUCCAUUCAUUAACUUUCCCUCAGCUCGUCAAGGAGUCUGACUUUGUGGACUACAGUGGGACAUUUGGUGACAAGAAAGAAAUGAACGCAGCACGAAACGUGGAGGCAAGUUGGCUGAUUUCAACCUGACCGUGGGAGGAAAGGUCCCCCAAACAGAAGCUGUCCCUUGGCAGCCUGAACAAAGAGAAGGUUGAUGUGAAGGACUUACACAGCUCUCAAAAAACAGGUGAGUUACCCUUACAUACAUAUGUUC
ensembl:lncRNA